AAAAAAAGAACAAUAUGUAACGUAAAAAGGCAACAGCAGCCCGUGUUUGUACAAUUUAACGUUAGCCUGAAAUACGUUUUUAAAAUAACAGUAAUUGAACACUUAUCCUCAAAAAUUACCUGAUUUGAUAUUUUAAAAACAACUCUGCUGUAACUACAUACUCAUGCUACAUACAUAUGUCGGUGUGUUGUAUAAAUAUAUAAAAUAAAUGCAUUUAAUGAAUCUUUAUUACCAGAAAUCGCAGUUCUGUCACUCUACUCUAUCAGUUUGAAUGGCCGCCAACGCACUUCCUUGAACUAUAUGAAGUCGACAGGCCCCAAGGAAGUCGACCGGAAGUUGAAGUCGGCCGCGUGCCGCCAUCUUGUAGCAGAACUUCACUUGCGUUAGCAUCCCAUUGACUCUCAUUCAUUUUGGCGUCACUUUGACAGCGAAUAACUUUACAUCUGAGGCGUUUAAAGACUCCAUUUGUCCAUUAUUUAUUUCUAAAGAUACACUGUCACGCUGCCAGUCUUUGUUUUCCUGGGUGUUCCCUAGUGAGCUCACUUCCCCUUAGGCACUUCACCAUAGGCACUUUAAUUCCGCUAGUCUGGUUGUGUCUUCACAGUAAUUGCACUCCAAUUAGAAUCGCACAGGUGUUGACAAUACUCUGUCAUUAGUUUCCCUUUAUAGAGCUGUCUUUCUCUGUUGUCAUCAUGGAGUCCUUACCCUAUGUGUCUCAUGCUCUCGUUCCCCCAGACUUCCUCUACCUUCUCGUUCUUCCGAGUUCCCCGUUUCAUCCGGUUCCCUUUUUGUUUGGUUUGUCUCUCAAGACAGUUUUAUUUUGUAUUUACCUGUUUGUGCAAUAAACCUUACCUGCUAUUGGAUCUUACCCUUUCCUUGUGUUUUUCCCUUAACCCAACCGUGACAGAAGGACUCCAUCAUGCCUAGAUCCAGCGGUGUGAGAUUUCGAAUCUGUUCCCCAGCCACCAUGGAGGAACGGAGGAGGAGAUUCCGGAACUUAACCACCCUUCAUCAAAAGGGAAGCGAGAGGAAGAGACAGUUUUGGCCAUCCUGGGGCCUGUUGCAAUGGAAGGAUCCUUGGAGAUAUGGAUACAUGUGCAUCAACCAGGCCUCCAAUAUCAGGGCCUCUCCAGUCUGGCCCUUCAACAUCAGGCUUCACAUCUUCAGAGGGCAAUAGAAAGAAACAAUGCUUUAAAUUCAGUUGUUAGCUACACUGCAUUAUUAUGCUGUUGGAAAUGUAUGGAGGUGGUGGGUGAUGGCCUGAUGGGUGGGUGAUGGAAGCACACAUGACUGUUUUGUCUAGGCCACUUCUGCGGUUUGCAGGUGGCUGAAGAGGGUGCAUGGCUUUGGUGAUAACUGGCUGCUGGAGACAUGUCCUCUUCGCCCAUACGUCCUGACACCUGUGUAGCAUCCAGCCACUACUGCAGUUCAAACCAUUUGUUUAAGCUGACAUAAUUUAUGCUAAAUAUUUGGUUUCUUUGCCGAUAUGUAUUAAAUGAACACUUAAAAAAAUAAAAAAAAACUUUUGCAAACAGUGUA